GGUUUGGUUCGCAGAGACAGAGGCUUGCCUUCAGUUCGUUUCCAACCAGCUGGUUGGGGGGCAGCCAUGGGAGAACAGUGUUCGUUGCUGGAGAUGCGUUGGAGGCCGUCGAUUUUCCUGCAACUCUUUCUGAUCAAUUGGAGUUGCUCCAGGAAAAACCCAUCCUAUCCAUCCAUCAAUGUCUCUCUUCUCUCGCACUCCAUGGCUAUUACUGCUGCUGUUGUGCUUUCUAGGGUUAGUAUUAGGAUUUGGGGACGCUUUCAAGGUCACCCUCAGGAUCAAGGAUGUGCUUCCGGUUCUGCCACGUCAGAUAUCGUGGCCGGUGCUCAACAAUUUCCACAGUGCUGUGGAUUUGUUGCCUUCUUUUAUCGGGUCGGUGACUCCCGACAAUACAUCAAUUGAAUGGGAAGGAGCUUGCUUUUCUGGUAACCAGGCUCGGCUCGAGUUCACCGAAGGCGAUCGGGACAAACCCAAUUUGGGAGGUGGCGUUCUCUAUCUCAAGCUAUUUGAUCUGGUCUGCUGGCUAUAAAUAUGAAUGAACAUGUAUGAGAUAGAGAAAGAGAGCGCAGCCUGAUGAUGUUGAUGAGAGCUAGAGAGAGAAAAACAGAGGAGAAUAGUAGGUUGCUAGAAGAGAACUAGGGCUUCCCAAACUCCUCGGAUCUGCGCCAUGGAGUUUGAAAGUGGAUGAGUGUUAAAAAGAGGCUCUACACAUUUGGAUGCGGAUUAGGGCUACAGUGAAAUGGCGAAACUGCCCUUGACUAAACAGUUUCUUUUGUUCCCGUUUUGCCCUUCCUCCUUCGUUCAGAUAGUUUCGUUCGUUGAGAGAGAGCUCUGCCUUCAGUUCGUUUGCAACCAGCUGGUUGGGGGGCAGCCAUGGAAGAGCUGUGUCCGUUGCACGAGAUGCGUUGGUGGCCGUCGAUUUUUGGUUGGGAGGUGAGCUGCAAAUCCAGCCACAGCUUUGGGAUCGGGAGAUUUCGUUUUUUCCACAUCCUUCGACUGAUGCUUCUAUCUUUCUUGCUUACGAGUAUUUGCAUCGUUGCUCCUCAGAUGCUGGGUUCGCUUCUAACCAGGUUGGUUGGCCUGGUUGCGGGGCAAUGAUGGAAGAGGUCGGUUUACUGUUGGAGAUUAUCUGGAGGCUUCGAUUUUUAUAGGAGUGGCGUGCAUUGGUCUUCUUCUUCAGAUCGAACUCCAGCUUUCUCUCUGUUUCAGUCUCUUUCUCUCACUGAUCUUUGCUAGGGACUGGAAUGGAUACGCAGGAUACAUCUCCUUCAGUGUUGCUAUUCUUUGACAAGGAAAGAUUUAUAUUUAAUGCUGGAGAGUAUGAAUCACAGUUAGGCAGUCAUCCAAUUGCUUCAGGUAUGACUUAUGAAAAUUAAAAAGUUAUUCAAAUCUACGUGUUGUAUUGAAACUUUGGAAUUUUAUCUCAACAGAUUCAAUUGUCUCUCACCUCUCUGACGUAUAAGCAAUCACUGAAGCAAAGAAGCGAAGAUAACUUUCAGGUGAGCUUGGGUACGAAAUCCAAAUACGAGAAGCAGUCGUUCGCCCAAAUUGUUUAACCAUUCUUCGCUUUAAAGAGUCAAGACCUCCAUCAAAGAGAAGAAAAGUCAUGAAGAAAUUGCAAAACAAAGCUCGCCCAAUUAGAUAACAUGGUGUACAAAACUAUCCAAAUUUUGCUAUUUUGAUGUCUACUUCCUACUAUAAACAUCUCAAUGUAUAUAAAAACAAGUGUAGUACUUUAACAUAACAAGUAGCCUGUAAAAUAUGUUUUUACAUGCUUUUUUCCAACAUACACUCCUUUAUAAUGUUAUAAAUUACAUCUCAUUAUAUA